GCAAAGUUCUUUCUAGUCUAUUUACAAGUCAACUUCAAUUUGAAUUAUAGAAUUGAUAAUUCAAGUUUUGAGUGCCAUCGCAUCCCUUACAUAAAAAAAAAUAUAUAUAUGUAUAUUAUUAACAUAAAUAUUAUUAUAAUAGAAAAUAGAUACGUAUACAAUAUUUUAUUUUAAUAAUAAAAUCAUUGUUAAGGGAAUGCAGAACAUGAUUUGCCAAAAACCUUAUCCACGUUCAAGCCAUUCAUACAGACCUUUUAUCGAACAUCUUGUCUGCAUCACAGUCGCAGAUGAGACCUACCGUGUAAAGCACAGCUGCACUCUACUCCUCUCUAACCCUAAUCUUUCUCCUUCCAAUUAUCCGGCUCCUUAUCACAAUUUUCAGGUUUCAGAUCCAACCAAAAGCUUCCUCCAAGGCUACCGUGGCUUCCCUUCGUCGGCCAUCUCCACCUCCUGAAGCCACCCAUCCACCGCACCUUCCAUAAACUCUCUCAAACCUACGGCCCCAUCUUCUCCCUCCGCUUCGGCUCUCGCUCGUCUUUAUAGUCUCCUCGCCGUCAAUCGCGGAGGAGUGUUUCACUACGAACGACGUCGUUCUCGCCAACCGCCCACGUUUGCUCGUCGGCAAGCAUAUUAGUUACUACUACACCACCAUGGUGUAGUCAGUUCUGGUUCAGGCUCAUUUAUGGGCCAAGUUUUGCUCUGGGAUCAACUUUAGUUAUAACUUAAUUCCUGCACUCGUCUGUAUAUAUCUGGCUAAAUAUUAAAUUGGUAAUUGUAUUGUUUCUAAAUAUUAUAAUUAGUAUUUAUAUUAUUUUUUGUUAGUUUAUUUUUUUUAAAAAAAUAUUUAUAUUAUUUUUUACCCGGUAAAUGCUAUUAAUAUUGUUAACAAAUUUACUACUAGACAUCAAGUUAUACAUGUAAUUAUUUUGAAUUAAUUAUAAGUGAUAUAUGAACAUUAAUUAUAAGUGAUAUGCAUUUAUUAAUAAGUAAUAUAUGAAUAUUAUAAGUGAUACGCAUUUAUUAAUAAGUGAUAUAUGAACAUAAAUCAUAAGUGAUACGCAUUUAUUAAUAAGUGAUAUAUGAACACAAAUCAUAAGUGAUACGCAUUUAUUAAUAAGUGAUAUAUGAACAUAAAUCAUAUAUGAUAUACUUUUGUUAAUAAGUGAUAUAUGAAGAUAAAUCAUAAAUGAUAUACAUUUAUUAAUAAGUGAUACAUAAACAUAAAUCAUAAAUGAUACGCAUUUAUUAGUAAGUGAUAUAUGAACAUAAAUCAUAAAUUAUAUGUAUUUAUUAAUAAGUGAUAUAUGAAAAUAAAUCAUAUGUGAUAUACUUUAUUUAUUAAUAAAUGAUAUAUUAACAUUAAUUAUAACAUAAUAUUAAUUAUAAGUGAUAUAUAUUUAUUAAUAAUAAAUUAUAUAUGAAAAUUAAUCCUACCAGAAGUGGAAAUAAAUCAAAGCUGUGGAAAAAAGUUGCACUUAUUAGAAAAUUCAAAGCUUUUAGAAUUUUGUUCUUAGAAAAAAUAAAAAAAUUAACAAGCAAAGAAAUGGUAUAAGAAGCUUAUGGAUCCACCAAACAUCAUUCAGAAAUAAAGAGAGAAAGACACAGAGAGAGAGAGAGAUAAUAUAAUCAACUGAGGGACCCAAACAUGGAAGACUCAACUGUUCUUUACACCUCCCUCACUCUUAUCUUCAUCUUCUUCCUCCGCAAACUCCUGCAAUUUUCAAAUUCCAGAACCAAUCAAAAGCUUCCUCCAAGUCCACAUGGUCGCCUUCCCCUUAUCGGCCAUCUCCACCUCUUAAAGCACCCGACUCACCGCACUCUAUAUGAUCUCUCCCUAAAGUACGGUCCAAUCCUGUCUCUCCGUUUCGGCUCCCACCUUGUCUUCGUCGUCUCUUCGCCGUCUAUCGCCGAGGAAUGUUUCACUACGAACGACGUCGUUCUGGCCAAUCGCCCCCGCCAUCUCAGCGGCAAGUACAUAGAUUACGACAACACCACAAUGGUCGCGGCCCCUUACGGCAGCCACUGGCGCAAUUUGCGCAAAAUCGGCUCGAUUGAGAUCUUCUCCACUCACCGCAUCAACAUGUUUUCGUCGAUCCGCAAAGACGAGCUCAAGCGGCUCCUCUGCCGACUCGGCCGUGACUCGCGCGAGGGUUUUACGAAGGUGGAGCUGAAAUCUCUGUUCACGAACCUGACGCUGAACAAUAUGAUGAGAAUGGUUGCAGGGAAGAGGUACUGCGAUGAUGGUACGAACAAUGAGGAAGAAGCGAUCGAGUUCAAGGAAAUUGCGGCGGGAAUUUUUAAGCUUAGCGGUGCAUCGAAUGUGGGUGAUUUCUUGCCAAUACUGAACUGGUUUGGGCAUAGUUUUGAGAAAAAGUUGAAGGAGAUGGGAGAAAGAAUGGAUAGAUUUUUGCAGCGUUUGAUCGAUGAGAGAAGAAAUAAUGGAGGGAGAAACACCGUGGUUGAUCACUUGCUGACUCUGCAACAAUCAGAACCUGAAUACUACACUGAUAAAGUAAUCAAAGGGCUCAUCUUGGUUAGUCAAUUUACUUUCAUCUCCUUUCUAGCUAACAUAUCUUUCUGGUUUAUCUCUUUGGAUAAUUUUAUUAGCGGCCGGGUAAGUUUAUUAUAUGUGUGUCUAUAUUUAUAUAUGUGUUUUUUGAGUGAAUAUAUGUGUAUAUGCAUAUAUAUAUAUAUAUGUACACACAUCGUAGAAAGGAGGCAGUUAAAAAUUGGAUGUAGGUUGAUUAAGAACAAGGGUAUGGAAAGUUACAGCCGUAUAGGGAUGCUGAGAGAAUCCCCUUUUUUCUAAUUUUUUAGUUAAGUAUAAUGUUUAUAUUUUAUAUAAACAAUAAUAUGCUGGAAUAAAUAGUAAAAAUAUUAUUUAUAUACAUAAAGAUAUAUAAUUUAAAUCUUAUAGAAAAUUAUUAUACAGUUGUCAAGUUUGGAGUAUAUUAAUAUACUAAAAGAAUGCGUUAUAGAGAAAUAAUUUUCUAGGAAUAGUUAAGAAAAUUCUAAAAAUGCUUGAAAACAAUUUGCUUUUAUUGAAAUAGUGAUACUUGUUAUGAAUUAAAAGAGGUAUAUUUAUGUACUAUAUAUGAAAUAAUGAUGCCAUGAAGAAUUAGUUGUAUUUAAUCAACUUCUUAAGUUUUUUAUUUCGUAUUUUAUUUUAAUUUUUUUUAUCACUUUUCAAGUCAUUUUUUCUUUGUCUUUACAAAAAUAGUUGUUAUUAGUUAGUGCAUAGAUUCAUUGAAUUUAUGUUUCAUGUCAAUUUUUUUAAUUAUUUUAUACUAAUCAUUUUGAUUUUUAAAAUAAUAUUUAUGAUUAAUUAAUAACAUUAAUUCAAUCAUGUAUUAUAGGUGAUAUUAGUUGGUGGAACCGAUACAACAUCAAUUACGAUAGAAUGGGCCUUAUCAAAUUUACUGAACCAUCGUGAUGUAUUGAUCAAUGUCAAAACUGAGAUUGAUACUCAAGUCGGUCAAAAUCGCUUGCUUGAUGAAUCAGAUAUUCCAAAUCUACAAUACCUCCAAAAUGUUAUAUUUGAGACGCUUCGUUUAUAUCCGACAGCUCCUCUUUUAGUACCCCACAUGUCAUCUAGUCAUUGUGUCAUUAAUGGUUAUGACAUGCCACCAAAUACAAUAUUGAUAACAAAUGCAUGGGCUAUACACAGAGAUCCAGAAAUUUGGGAAGAACCAUCAAGAUUUAAUCCAGAUAGAUUCAUAAAUAAUAAAGUAGAUGUUCAUAAAUUAAUUAUGCCAUUUGGGUUAGGGAGGAGAACUUGUCCAGGUGCAGGAUUGGCUCAACGGAUGGUGUGCUUAAUAUUAGGCUCACUGAUUCAAUGUUUUGAAUGGGAGAGAGUUAGUGGGGACGAGAUCAACAUGGAAGGAGAAGAAGGGCUGGCCAUGUCGAAACUAAAGCCAUUAGAAGCCUUGUGUAAAGCCCGUCCUAUUGUAAAUGAAUUUAUGGGAGAUGUUGAUUAAUCACAUGAAUUCAACUAAUUGAAUGUUAAUAGCUAAAAACAUUAGUGAAAUAAAUUAAAAUUUUUUAUGUAUGAUAAACUUAUGAAAGCAUAUUAUUAUAAGAUGAAUAUAUGUAUUUUGUUUCUAAUUAUCAGCCGAUAUUUAAAGUAUUUCGUGCAUAUAUCAUAUCUAAUAUACUGAUCAAAGUAUUAGUGUUUUAAUUUUGUAGUUAAGUUGUGCGAGUGGUUAAUAUACGUGUAUAUAUAUAUAAUUUUUACAAAAACUGAUGGUAAUAAUCAGGUAAAAAGUUAUAUAAUACUGACAAUAUUAAAUUACAGUAUCAGUUGUAACUAAUAAUAACAACUCUUAAAAGUGAAAAUAUGACUACAUAUUUUUCAUAUAAAUCUCAAGAUGUUACAAUUCAACACUGAAGGAUAAGAUUACUCCUUUGUUUUAAAUUGGAAAAAAGAAAUUUCAAAGAAGAAAAAAAAAAAAAAGGAAACGCAACUCGAACAUCUACUGCUUUAUCUUCUCAGUGAUUUGGCAGCUUACGAAUCAUCCAGGUGCGAAAUCCACAUAAAUGAUAACAACACAACUAAGACAUGGGCUUGCGUGCGCAAUGACGCAAAUUUUUUUGUUCUUAUCAUGCCUCGCAGUUGAAGACCACACAGUGACACAUCUGGUCGUGUCUACUUCACAAUUGGACAGUCGUGAAUUUGUCUACAGAUUUAUAAUUUUAAUCACGCUUUUUGGGGUAAUGAUUAUAUAUUUAUUUGCAGAUUUAUAUUUAUUUUCCGUUAAUUGUGAUAGACUCAUUAUUCCCGGUAUGCAGCACAUAAUCAAGCGCUUCAUAUAAACCUUUUAUCGAACACCUUGUCUGCAUCGGCGUUGGAAAUCAGACAUGCAAUGGAAAUCACCGCUGCACUCUACUCCUCACUAACUCUCAUCCUCCUCCUUCCAAUUCUCCGGUUCCUUCUCCAAUUUUCAGGUUUCAGAUCCAACCAAAAGUUUCCUCCAAGCCCGCCACGGCUUCCCUUCGUCGGCCAUCUCCACCUCCUGAAGCCACCUAUCCACCGCAACUUCCACAAACUCUCCCAAACCUACGGCCCGAUCUUCUCCCUCCGCUUCGGCUCUCGCCUCGUUUUUGUAGUCUCAUCGCCGUCAAUCGCGGAGGAGUGUUUCACUACGAACGACGUCGUUCUCGCCAACCGCCCACGUUUACUCGUCGGGAAGCACAUUGGCUACAACUACACCACCAUGGCGUCAUCACCUUACGGCAGCCAUUGGCGCAACUUACGCAAAAUCGGCGCUAUCGAGAUCUUCUCCUCUAACCGUCUCAACAUGUUUUCGUCUAUUCGAAAGGACGAGGUCAGGCGGCUCAUCUGCCGACUCGCCCGUGACUCGCGCCGGGGUUUCGUGAAAGUGAAGUUGAAGCCUCUUUUCUCGGACUUGACUCUCAAUAAUAUGAUGAGAAUGGUUGCAGGGAAGAGGUAUUGCGGCGAUGGAGUGAGCAAUGAGAAAGAAGCCAAUGAGUUUAAGGAGCUUAUAUCGGCGGUGCUUCAGCUUGCCGGUGCAUCGCAUCCAGGCGAUUUCUUGCCUGUGCUGAAAUGGAUUGGCCAUAAUUACGAGAAAAAGGUGAAGAAUACUGCGAAAAGAAUGGAUGGAUUCUUGCAAGGUCUGAUUGAUGAGAAGAGAAGAAACGAAGAAGGAAACUCCAUGAUCGACCAUUUGCUCUCUCUUCAACAGUCAGAACCCGAAUACUACAACGACCAAAUUAUCAAAGGCCUCGCAAUGGUUAGUCCUUUCCUUUUCUCUUGCAGCUAAUGUACCCGACUUAGCAUGAUCAUUCUUUACUUAUCUUAUUUAAUAACUUACAGAUUCUUACUGUUUACAAAAUGCUUUCAAAAAUUUAAACAUAUUGUCAAAAAACUUUUAAACAUUGACCCAAAAGAUUAGACAUGUUAAAAAAGUAUUUUUGAACUGCACGUGAUUUUUUUCUCUCCUUGUUGGACUCAGUCAAAAAGCAGACCUAGUCUUUAGAUUGUUGAGAAUAUGGUUCCUGGUUUGUAGCCUUAUCCUAGGACCACGUUUUUAUCCUCUAUGUUUUGCCAUUUAUAUGUACUGUUGCUCAUCAAAAUUAAUAGCUUUUAUCAGAAGAAAAGUUUACGUUCUGCAUCUUUUUCUUCCUCUGUUUCUGUCAACUUCAAAAAAAGCAACAAGACAAACCAACCAAGCAUUCUUUUAUUGUAAAUAAUGAUUUGAAUUCGUUUAUAUGAGUUUACUUUUAGGUGAUAAUUGUUUCAACUUUAUACACACCAGAGGAAUCAAACUGGCAAAAAGAAGAUGUCAAUUUCCAUGUAGUGAUAUCAAAUUAACAAACCUAAUGUUCAAAUCUUGUCUAUUUUGCUAGUUGUACUUAAAUUAUAACUUCAUUAAGACACAUAAAUCCACAGAGUUUGCCUAAUAUUAUAUUAUUGAAAAGCCUAAUGUUUAAAACUUAUUUACUGUGCUAGUUUAAAUUAAAUUAAUUUUAGUAAGAAGACAUAGCAGACUUCUAUUUAAUCCACAUUGUUUGCCUCAUGGGGCUAUGCCAAUAUAUAAAUAGAUUAGAAUACUUUUUCUUUAGAUUUUUAUUAUUAUUAUUUUAAUUUUUUUUAUCGUAAUUUAAUCAUGUCUCGUAAUUCGUAUGUUUUGAGUAAUAAGUUGAAUUACUAUAUUAAAUAACUAAUAAGUUAAGUAUAAAUUGCAGAUAAUACUAGCAGCUGGAACUGAUACGUCGAUGGUUACAAUAGAGUGGGCAUUGUCCAAUUUACUUAAUCAUCCUNNNNNNNNNNNNNNNNNNNNNNNNNNNNNNNNNNNNNNNNNNNNNNNNNNNNNNNNNNNNNNNNNNNNNNNNNNNNNNNNNNAAUAAAGGAGAGCUCAUAAAUUGAUCAUGCCAUUUGGGUUAGGGCGAAGGACUUGUCCGGGCGCAGGAUUGGCUCAAAGGAUGAUAACCUUGGUAUUGGGAUCGUUGAUUCAAUGUUUUGAAUGGGAGAGAGUGAGUGAGAAAGAGAUUGACAUGCAAGAAGGGAAAGGAAUCACCAUGCCCAAAUUAGAGCCGCUAGAAGUCAUGUGCAGAGUUCGUCCAAUCAUGAAUAAAGUUCUAGAGCAAGUUGGUUAAUUAAUUUUCAAAAAAAAAAUUCAGAAAUUAUGUUGAAUUUUAUUAAAUUAUAGAACUUAAGAUAAUAUAAGUUUGAUGUGAAAUUGUAAAUUAUAAGUUGUGCAUGAAUUAAAUAUAUUUUGUUAAAAAAUGACAAAAGAAAUGUAUUAUAAUGUAAUAUUUUUUUCUUAAAAUGGUGAAGGAAUAAGGAAGUAUAGCUUUUUUUUGGCCCCUCACUGGUAAGGCAAGCGCUUCUAAGUGUGUUGGAAAUUGUUUUAGCUUUUUUUUUUUAAUUCAUUUAAUUUAAUUAUAGACGCAUGUGAUUCACGAGCAUUUUAUUUUAGUUUAUGUGUGGAUACCAUUAUGCCAGAAAAUGGAUAGCAAUAAGAUAAUCUUAUUUUAAUUAUAAAAUAAUAAUUUUUUUUUUUAAAUAACAAAACAAAACAACUAUAUUAAAAGCCCACUGAGGUACGUUAUGGGCAUAAUUAUGUAAAUAUCUUGUCUGCAUCACAGUCGCAGAUCAGUCAGACCUGCCAUGGAAAGCACAGCUGCACUCUACGCCUCUCUAACUCUAAUCUUUCUCCUUCCAAUUAUCCGGCUCCUUAUCCAAUUUUCAGGUUUCAGAUCCAACCAGAAGCUUCCUCCAAGCCCGCCACGGCUUCCCUUCGUCGGCCAUCUCCACCUCCUGAAGCCACCCAUCCACCGCACCUUCCAUAAACUCUCUCAAACCUACGGCCCCAUCUUCUCCCUCCGCUUCGGCUCUCGCCUCGUCUUUGUAGUCUCCUCGCCGUCAAUCGCGGAGGAGUGUUUCACUACGAAUGACGUCGUUCUCGCCAACCGCCCACGUUUGCUCGUCGGCAAGCAUAUUAGCUACAACUAUACCACCAUGGCCACGUCACCUUACGGCAGCCAUUGGCGCAACUUACGCAAAAUCGGCGCUAUCGAGAUCUUCUCCUCUAACCGUAUCAACAUGUUCUCCUCUAUUCGAAAGGACGAGGUCAGGCGGCUCAUCUGCAGACUCGCCCGUGACUCGCGCCGGGGAUUCAUAAAAGUGGAAUUGAAGCCUCUGAUCUCGGACUUGACUCUUAAUAAUAUGAUGAGAAUGGUUGCAGGGAAGAGGUAUUGCGGCGAUGGAGUGAGCAACGGGAAAGAAGCCAAUGAGUUUAAGGAGCUUAUAUCGGUGGUGCAUGAGCUUGCCGGUGCGUCGCAUCCAGGCGAUUUCUUGCCAGUGCUGAAAUGGAUUGGUCACAAUUACGAGAAAAAGGUGAAGAAUACUGCGAAAAGAAUGGAUGGAUUCUUGCAAGGUUUGAUUGAUGAGAAGAGAAGAAAUGAAGAAGAAGGAAACUCCAUGAUCGACCACUUGCUCUCUCGUCAACAGUCAGAACCCGAAUACUACAACGAUCAAAUUAUCAAAGGCCUCAUAAUGGUUAGUCCUUUCCUUUUUCUCUUCUAGCAAAUAUACCAUGAACGAACUCUAUUAAACUGAAGCUUAUUCCGUAAGUUAUUUCUAGAAACCUAUUUUUCAAAAACAACAUUAAAAAAUUAAUACUUAAUCGUUUGACGUUUCUUAAUUAUUAAAUACUAUUUUGUCAUGUCACUAAAAUAUACGGUAUUUGAGAAGAAGAAACUUUGUGUUACUAAAAUAUAAUUUUUAUAAAAAUGUAUUAAUUGAUAUACUCUUAAAAGAUAAUUUUAAUGUCUUAAUAAUAAGUUGAUUUAUAAUAUUUAAUAAUUAAUAUAUUAAGUAUAAAUUGCAGGUAAUACUAGUAGCAGGAACUGAUACAUCGAUGGUUACAAUAGAGUGGGCACUGUCUAAUUUAUUUAAUCAUCCUGACAUUUUGAAUAAGGCAAGAGCAGAGAUUAAUGUUAAAAUUGGUGAAAAUCGUUUAAUUGAUGAAUUUGAUCUCCCCAAACUUGAAUACCUUCAAAAUAUUAUAUUUGAGACAUUUCGUUUGUAUCCGGCAGCUCCUCUCUUGCUUCCUCAUAUGUCAUCUGACCAGUGUGUUAUUCAUGGUUAUAAUAUGCCAUCAGAUACAAUUUUAUUGAUCAAUGCAUGGACUAUACACAGAGAUUCUGAGAUAUGGAAAGAUCCAACAAGUUUUAAGCCAGAGAGGUUUGAAAAAAAUAAAGAAGAAGCUCUUAAAUUGAUCAUGCCAUUUGGGUUAGGGCGAAGGACUUGUCCCGGUGCAGGAUUAGCUCAAAGAUUGGUAAGCUUGGUACUAGGAUCCUUGAUUCAAUGUUUUGAAUGGGAGAGAGUGAGUGAAAAAGAGAUUGAUAUGCGAGAAGGGAAAGGAAUCACAAUGUCCAAAUUAGAGCCGCUAGAAGCCAUGUGCAGAGCUCGUCCAAUCAUGGAUAAAGUUCUAAAGUAUGCUGAUUAGUUAUAAAUUCACGUGAUUUGCAUCGGAAUAAACUUGAUCCAGAAGCUCACAAUGAGUAGAAUUUGAAAUUUUAAAUAAUUAGUUUUAUUAUUUUUUUAAAAAAAUUAAAAAUUAUAUAAAAUUGUAAUAAAAUUGAGAAUCCAAUACAAUGUAAGAUUUUGUAUGAAAUUUUAAAUAAAUAUCAAAUUCUAUUUAAAAUUAAAAGGUAGUAUAACUGUUUUUCUCCUACUUAUAAGCUAACGACUUAUGGGUGUGCUUCAAUUUGUUAUAGUCUUUUGAUUUACAUAAACUAAGUUUAGACAUAUUCUACUUUGACCUUACUUAGUAUUAUACAAAACGGAAAAAUCACUUAGUCUACUUUUAAAUAUAAGCUUUCCCAUGAAUUUUGUUGGCCAAUUUUUGAUUUUAUAAAUUUCCAUCAUCCAUAAUAUAUUUUACUUCUCAUAAAAAAUUAUUUUAGUCUUUCAUACCUAAAGAAGGCAACCAACUUGAUAAUUGAAAAUUAAAAAAAAAAUAUCAAGCCUGUAUUUAAGAGAGAAAAGAACACUUGUUAAAUUGAAGAAUGGAUUCUCGUUAUAAGAAUAUGGUAAUGAUUUCUUAAAAAAGUUUUAUUUAUUUAUUUAAAUAAUUAUUAUUUUUACUAAUUUAAUUAUUAUUAAAUGCACUUUUAUUAAUAUAUACAUGCAAUUUAACUAAUGAAAUGUACCAAGUUAUAGUCAAAAAAACAUAUGAUUCGUCUUAUGUUGUAAAUCUCACUACAUCAGGUUAUGUUAUAAAAAAUAUUAACUCUUUUCAUAAUUAAUCUAACAUAUGUUAGAUUAAUUUAUUUACUUUGAAUUAAUUUUUUAAUAUUACAUUCGUGUAUUUAUAUAAAUUGCAUAAUGUACAAUAGUUAGAUGUAUGCAUUUAUAUGUAAUACAUAUUGUAUAAUGUGUUAGAUUGUAUAUUACGUAUAUGUAAUGAAUAAAUUAAGAAGGACACAAUGUGAUUUGGUGAAGUAUGAUUUGGAAAUGAAGUCAAGUUGCUCCUACUCUAUUCACAAACCGACUUUAGUGUAAUGCAAAAAGGCACAUGCGUGCUUUUAAUUUGAUUAUAGAUCCUAUACGAUAUUUUAUUUUAAUUAUAAAAAUAAUAAUUUAAAGAAAAUAAUAAUAAUUAAAUAUAACUACAUUAAAUAUAGGGACAGAUGCAGCACAUGUCUUUCUAUUAUCAUAAAAAACUCACUAGUAUCGGCAUGCAGCACAUGCUUUUGUGGAAAAUUUUCGGGUCAAAUAUGCGGGCUCGUUAUCCAUGUUCAAGCCCUUCAUAUAAACCUUUUAUCGAACACCUUCUCUGCAUCGCAGUCGCAGAUCCGACCUGCCAUGGAAAGCACAGCUACACUCUAGUCUUCUCUAACUUUAAUCGUUCUCCUUCCAAUUCUUCGCCUCCUUCUCCAAUUUUCAGGUUUUAGAUCCAACCAAAAGCUUCCUCCAAGCCCGCCAUGGCUUCCCUUCGUUGGCCAUCUCCACCUCCUGAAGCCACCCAUCCACCGCACCUUCCAUAAACUCUCCCAAACCUACGGCCCCAUCUUCUCCCUCCGCUUCGGCUCCCGCCUCGUCUUUAUAGUCUCCUCGCCAUCAAUCGCGGAGGAGUGUUUCACCACGAACGACGUCUGUCUCGCCAAUCGCCCACCUUUGCUCGUUGGCAAGCACAUUGGCUACAACUACACCACCAUGGUGUCAUCACCUUACGGCAGCCAUUGGCGCAACUUGCGCAAAAUCGGUGCUAUCGAGAUCUUCACCUCUAACCGUCUAAACAUGUUUUUGUCCAUUCGAAAAGACGAGGUUAGGCGGCUCCUCUGCCGACUCGCCCGUGACUCGCGCCCGGGUUUCACGAAGGUGGAGCUGAAGUCUCUUUUUUCGGACUUGACUCUCAAUAAUAUGAUGAGAAUGGUUGCAGGGAAGAGGUAUUGCGGCGAAGGUGCGAGCAAUGAGAAAGAAGCCAAUGAGUUUAAGGAGGUUAUAUCGGCGGCGCUUGAGCUUGCCGGUGCGUCGCAUUGCUCGGUCAUAACUACGAGAAAAAUGUGAAGAAUACUGGGAAAGAAUGGAUCGAUUCUUGCAAGGUUUGACUGAUGAAAAUAGAAGAAAUGAAGAAGGAAACUCCAUGAUCAACCACUAGCUGUCUCUUCAACAGUCAGAACCAGAAAACUACAACGAUCAAAUUAUCAAAGGUCUCAUAAUGGUUAGUCCUUUCGUUUUCUCUUGCACCAAAUAUACCCGACUUACCGCGAAUCUAAUGUCUAAAAUUUGUCUACUUUGCUAAUUGACAUUAAUUAACUUUAUUAGAACACAUGAAUCUACAGAGUUGGCCUAGUAUUAAAUUGAAAAUUUUAAUGUACAAAACUUUAUACUUGCUAGUUUCAAUUAAUUUAUUUCAGUAAAAAGACAUAGUAGGCAUUCUAUUUAAUCCAUAGAGUUUGUCUGGUGGG
rnacentral:lncRNA from 1 species